GAUCCAUUGGUCUAGUGGCUAUGACGUCUCGUUUACACCGAGAAGGUCCCCAGUUCAAUCCUGGGAUGGAUUA